rnacentral:lncRNA from 1 species
AAACAAUAUAUUUCAAUGUCAGAUGAUGUAAAUUUAUUAGAUUAAAAUUUUCAUUUUCAAAUGCUUUUCCAUGAAAAUCCAAUAGUAUAUUUUCAAUCCAAUAGUACAGGCAAUAGGACUUCAUAUUGGGUUAUUCAUUAAGUUUAGAGUCCCUCAAAAGUUGAUGAUGCAAGAAACUGAUGAUUUAAGAAUAAAAGAUUAGUGGUAAAUGUGAGAAGGAAAACGAUGGGUAUACUGAGAGAGACUUUGAUCUCAAUAUGCAAAAGGAUUUAGACCUUCAACAAAUUGAACGAUAGAAGCCAGAUCCACAGGAUGGUCUGUAACAGGAUGAUUGGCAGCUACUGGACAAAAAGUAGGUUGGGUGACAGAAUCCAGAUCCAUGGCUCAGGGAAGGGAAGCCACAGAUUCCAUAACCCAGGCGUCUGAAGCCACGGCCUCCACAGCCCACUGAGUAGCAGCUUCUGGAUCCAGAGCUCAGGGAGCUGCAGCUGCUGGACCUAUAGGCCAGAGACCCAGGGAAAGUCGUCUGGCAGGGACUGGAGAACGUGGAGGUCCUCGGGCGGUAGCAGGACGUCUGGCAGGGACUGGAGAACGUGGAGGUCCUCGGGCGGUAGCAGGACGUCUGGCAGGGACGGGACACCACAGUCUGGGUCCUGAUGGGCUCACAGCAGGUCUCCUGGCUGUAGAGAGAGGAGCCCAGCUGGCAGGAGCUGGGAGAGCAGAGGUCAGUGCUGUAGACCAGGUUGCUGGGGAAGGAGGAAGCUGGGGUGCGCAGGUGGUCCUGGAGGGAGCGGGAGGAGAAGUUUCCAGAGCAGCAGUUGUAGGACAUCUUCGCAGGUGAUGUGAGUUCAGGUGAGUGACUAGAAGAUUCUGAGGUUUAACGUCACCUCCCAGACUGGAGUGUUUUUAUAUUCUCAGCCAUGGGUGUGGCAUUCAUAGUCACCUUUCUCAUGCUUGUAAUCUUUCAUCUCCAAAUGUGAAAUUCAAUAAUAUUUUCUGUAACUGCUGAUGAAAAAUUCCUUUCAUCUCAUACUCAUGGGUGAAUUCACCAUGUCGUUAAAGGACUAAGCUGAUGACGUGUUCCUAAGUCAGAAAUUCUAUGACUACCUGCCUUUAAUGUCAUCACUACCAGGAAAUCCCCUACUCUUCUCAAUGGUUUGAGAUUCUUCGUGCAUUUGACUGUAUAUCAGCUGGGGAUGAUUAGCUCUAAGGGCAGGGAUU